UACGAAGGGGGCUAGCGUUGCUCGGAAUCACUGGGCGUAAAGCGCACGUAGGCGGAUUGUUAAGUCAGGGGUGAAAUCCUGGAGCUCAACUCCAGAACUGCCUUUGAUACUGGCGAUCUUGAGUCCGGGAGAGGUGAGUGGAACUGCGAGUGUAGAGGUGAAAUUCGUAGAUAUUCGCAAGAACACCCGUGGCGAAGGCGGCUCUCUGGGACGGUACUGGACGCUGAGACGCGAAAGCGUGGGG
rnacentral:rRNA from 1 species